CGAGCUUGUUGUUCCUUCACUACUAGACUCCAGCGCAGGUAUAAAAGGUCACUCUUGCCCGGUAGCGGACUUUCCUCCAGCAUCGCCAUGUUCACCUGUAAUCCAGGAGCCUCAGGCGGUAACGUCUUCAUCCAGUAUGGGCAGUUUGACUGAAAGUGCUGGUACAAUGCGAUACACUCUAGAGAGGAAGACAAACUCCACAAUCAAGGAGACCAGAUUCCAGCCCAGGAUAAAGCCACAUCCCACCACAUUUGAGGCAAGGGUCAUAACCUGACCCACAGCCAGUGGAGCCAAAAUGUUGAUCACUUGGUCUAUACGUCGCAUGGUGGCAUUCAUCCCUACAGCGGCAUUAGAGCAAUUUUCUUUGUGGCCACGAUUGUAACCGGUUAUGACCACUAUCCAGUCUCUGUGGAUGGCAAUGUUAAGGGCCGUGCUGGCGAGAUUCGCCACAUCUGCUAGGACGAUCACCACCGUAUAACAAACCACCUUGUGUGAGUCACGUGAUGCAACAUGUUACAUGCAUUAGGAUUAUAUGUAGUUCUGUAGUAUAUUUCUGUUAUGUAGUAGCAUAGAAAAUGCAUCAGUAUUAACACAGUGUGUAUGAAUCAGAAAAGUAACAGUUACUCACAGUUAACCAACCGUCCCAGAUUUGCUCAAUCCAGUUUUUAUAUGAGAAUAUCAACAUAAGAAUGAUACUACAGACUGUCACUGAGAUGUUCUGAAUAAACAAGGAUGCAUGAGCCACUGCAGUAGAGAACAUAGAAGACUGUUUCAGAGCUUAAAUAAACAGCAAUACAUACAAUCUUUAGUAACCCCUGACAUUUAAAUGAAGCACAAGCAUAUAUUACACAAUAGUUAAUCUAAAAAAAGAGCAAGAAAUUGUUGGUGCAUAAGUAUUUACCCCCUGAGAUCAAUAGGUGGAUGAAUAACCUUUAUCUGCAUUUACAGCUACAAGAUUUCUGGGAUAUGGGUCUGUCACACAUAUUUGCAUAUCUAUAUUUUCUAUAUAUCUAUAACAAAUUUGUCUCGUGACCACUGAUGCUUUGGCAGACCUAAGACAGGUUCUUGUUUUUGAACUCCAGCAUAGCUUUGGUAUUAUUCCUGGAGUUAUUUUUUAUCUUGUUGGAAAUGAAACUAUUCCCCAGUCUUAAUUGUAUUGCAGACUGCAGAGUUUUUCUUCCCAGAUUGCCCAGUGUUUGGAUUGAUCCCCCUUACCCACAAACCUGACCAGUUUUGCAGGCCCUGCUGAGGAAUUAUAUCCACACAAAAUGAUGCCACCAAUGCUUCAUUGAUGAGGUUUAUAUUCUCAGAGUGUUGGCUUAUGUAGUGCUUUGUGCCAAGGUCAUAUAAAAUGUUGGUGUUAUCAGAGCCUAUAACUUUUUCAGGAGAACAGCUUUUUUGGGGGGCUUUGGUCCAAUAUAUGUUUUUUCCAUCUCCCUGGCAUUUUGGUUACUUAUCUGACCAAUGAUACUGGUACAAUUCCACUCAUUUUUAGUGGACUGCAUCCUUUGGUUGUGCCAUAUUCUAUAUAUUUUUAACAAUGGAAUUCAUAGUGCUCUUUGGGAUGUUUAAUGUUUUAUGUUUUCUUAUUUUCACACUUUUUUCACACUUUAUCCCUUUAUCUUUAUGAUGCUGAUUGUUCUCUAAUAAACUCGGGUGCCUUUAAGGAACAGGUGUGCUUAUAUUGUGAUCAUGUGACAUUUUAAUUGCACACAGGUUCUAAUUAAUUAUGUUCUAUGUUCUCUGUUCUCAUGACUCUCUUUAAAUAAUUAGGUAACUUUUACUGGCAGCUGAUUCGAACAGGGGAAUACUUAUGCAAGGCACAGUGCUUUGUGACUGAAUCUUCAAACUAUAAUGACACAGAACAGCACACCCAACAAAUAUACUACCUUUGUUUCUUGGGUUACGGUCCACCCAGUCUCCAAUAAGAGCACCUAAUAAAAGCACAGAACCAGCCACCACUAAUCCAAAGAUGGCAGUUAGCAGUAAGUUAUGUCCAUACAACUCAAUCAGAAAGACUGAGAUGGCAAAGUGCCACAUACGAUCACCCUGGCAUGGAAGCAGAGAAACACAUCCAGUGAAAUAUUGACAAAUGCAGCAGAGAAAAAUGACAAACACAGCAGAGAAUAAACUCUGAUUAUUUCUAUUUAACAUGGCUUCUUACCCACAUUGACAAUGCUCCACUGACAUAUAUGAGGAACUUGGGGCCUGUGAGGUAGCUAAGCGCUGAUCCUGAGAGACAGGGAGUUUGAUUUUGUUUAAUAUGAUAAAAUAUCUUGCAGUCUUAUUCAGUUAUUUAUCUAAAAGUAUAUAAUUUGUGAACCUAACUGGAAAAGUAUGUCAUUAAAAGAGUAAUGUAAUUCUAGACUCGCCUAUAAUAGUUAAUAGUCUCGGGGGUUUAAUAUUUGAAGUAUUCAUUCAAUCAUUAUUCAGUAGGGUCACAGUGCAUGUGUAAUACACAGCAGAUAGGACAGAUGUCCAUCAUAGGACACUGUGUACCAUUAUAGGACAGCAUUAUAGGACUGCCUACUAGCAUAGAUUUUGUGUGGUGUAUUUCGAGAAACCCAAGCAAUGCACAUAAAACUCUGAGUAAUCUGAGUAAUAUCAAUGCAUGAAGAAAACAACUAUACUCUUGUGUUUGGCUGGUUGAAUUUUUCUCACCUGAUUUACCACUGCUUUUCUUUUCCCUUGACUCUUUGAUGUCAUUGUUCUCAUUUUCCCCCAUAUAACCGCCACACUGAGAGGAAUCUGCCCUCAAAGACAUGCUACAGAAGACAAAUACAGCUUUUAAACUGGCAGUGCAUAAACCAUACCCUGUAUUGAGCAUGUGUGUUGUGUGUGUUAUUAUUUUUAUUUUAAAAAAGUGCUGAUAUAAAUGAGUUAAUACAAGUAAUCCUUUUGUAGCUAGUAUUCUGUAUAUUUCAAUGUAUCUACAGGAUAUCUGUAGUGAAGUGUAAAGCAUUAAGGGAAAAAAUCCACAUAAGCCAAAUAAUCAACACUUGUAUUAACCAACAUUUAUAUCAUCAAUUACUAAAGGAGUAAAAUUGUCUACAACGGCAACACAUUAACCAACAUGCUUACAGUUGUUGAAUGACAAAAACCUUUCGUUUAGUUUAGUCAAAUAUUAGUAACAUGCUGGAAUUAAUGUUUUGCUAUUUUGUGUUUUUGGUUGAAUUAUUUUUAUGGAUGGUGGUGCAUUAAGUGUGGCAAAUAAACAAAUGUAAAUUCA